CCGGGGCUGGGAGCACUGCAAGCACUCCCAUAGUCUGGUUGUACUAGUGGUAUCAGAAAGCUGCUUGAUAUUACAUUUUUCAUCUUGAAGGGAAGCAUAGGAAGGCAGAGAAGAAAGAGGGGGGCAGAACAUAAAAGAAGAAAAGUGGGAGCAAAGAGGAGACAGGAAGAGAGAUGGGGGAGGGGAGGGCCAGGGAGAGAACAGGAGUUUAGAUUUAAAGGUUUCUCUUUUUGUCUAAGAACCUGAAGGAUCUUCAUGUGCUUGAUAGGAUGUAUAAAAUGUCUCUAGGAAUGAAAUCAUAGAGUGUUUGGGAUUUUCAUUUUUUAUGUGUUUUGAGGAUAAAAGCAGGCUCUCAGGAAAGUCAGAGAAAAGGGCCUUCAUAAUCACAGAGCAAGAGGUAGGCAAAGUAGUGACUGGAAAGAGAAGCUGUUCUGCAGUGACAUCCCAGCCCCAUAGACCCUGACUCCAAGAAGGACGAUGAGAUUCCAGGCAUCCUUUCCACAUUCCAGUCAGAGGAGUGGAAUCACAGGCACACCAUCUCUCCACAAUGCGUUGAUUGUGAAGAGAGACAGAGCUCUCCUUUCAAAGAGGCUUUCCAAAUAACACCCCUCCCCCUCAGUUCUGAGGUGCUGCAAACGAAGGAAUCAUCGAAUACCUUCCUGUCUCUGAAUCAGGACAUCAGGAAGAAAAGAAGAGUGCAAGGAACAUUGCAGCAUAAGCCUUUUCUCCUUUCGGAAGUUUUCUGGAACCUUCCUUGAUGGAUUCUUAAACACCUGACAUCUUUAUUUGUAAAAUACUUUUCAUGGGUGUGUAUAUUCAGUAGAGUACUUUGCCAUCCCAAAUGAAAUUAGAAGUCAGUUAGGAGAUAAAUAAAAAUGACAAUUAGAC
rnacentral:lncRNA from 1 species